UUGGAUAUCUAUCUGUUGGUUUCACCAAUAAAGGCAGGCUUUCUACCUGCUGCUCUUUCUUGUUUUCCCUUAAAGCACUCUCACACUGCUUAAUGAGGAUGUCUUGACUUUUAGCAGUAAGAGCUUGAGCCAUUCUCCUCGGCGAGCUAUCCGAAUCUGAAGACGAAGAGCUAGUUGAACUGUCCAUGUCAUAAACAAUGUUAUCUGUCAAUGGAGGAAGCUGCACCGCCUUUGAGCUUGUUGAAGAAAAAGAUGGUCUUCUAAGUCUUGUUAGAUUCAC
rnacentral:lncRNA from 1 species